UCCAGGCAAGCCGGAGGCGGCGGUGGGUGGCAGCCCUUCCUGCACGCUCGAGUUGGUGAGCAGAGAGGGGUCGUUAGCCCUGCCAGUAUGAAGGCAAGGCAGAGAUGCACCUUACAGACUAACUAAAUCAGAGGCGUAUCAGCUUUGGCAGCCCUGCGCUGACUUAGGCACCUCUGAUUUAGUCUAUAAGGUGCAUCCGUGCCCGGUCUUCUGCCCCAGGUGAAUGCGCUUGGCCGGGGGGAAACGUAACAGCCUGGGUUAAACUGGGCGUCGGACGCCUGCGCUGCUGGUUCCUUGAGCUUUAUGAAUCUCUGAGCCCGACUCCACGAACGACAAGUCGUCCAUACAGGAGGGAAGGGCCAUCACGUAGGCAUGAAGGGACAGCUUGCAAGGGCUGAAGCUUUGGGGUAGAGAAGAGCCAACUGGAUAGCUGGCGGGAACCUGGGCCCAGCUUACGGCAUCGAGGGUUUAUGGCAGAGGGGCAAGUUCAUACAAAAUGAGAGGUCUGAGCAGAUCCUCGGGUGCCGUCUGUUGGCCCAGCUGCACCUAGAUUGCAAGAGAGACGCUCGGCUGGUGCAAAUCAUUUCUGGCUGGAAAGGCCUGAACAACAUCAUCUGAAUUUGAGGCCUAUUCUUGCAAAAUGCCCCUUCAUGGAUUGCAAAGAGAAACCGGGAGCUCUCAGCACGUCACGGGAUAGUGCCACGCUUAGGAGAUGUCAUUCGUGUUGUCGGAGCGUGUGCCGGGUUGGAGGCCUCUGAAAAUCCCACCUGCUUCACAAUGGGGUGGGAUUUUCCACUUGCCUUUUGUUCGUGUCACAAGGGAAGUCUGGUGACUUCUGUCCUGUGGAAUUGGCCUUUCUGUGGCAGCUAAUGGAAGGCCACAGGGAAACCCCCGAUUAAGAGCUGAAUCUGGCACCGGGUUUGAAAAUCUGGAUCGUUCUGGGAGCUACAGUCAUCCUUUAAGUCUCCAAAUUCACCUCUGGUGCAACUCCACCCAUUUUGGCCUGUGGACUUGAGUAACAUUUGGGCUAAUGUUUUUAUUCAAACUCUGAAACAAAUCUGCCCAUCUCAUAGCGUCAGCGAGACUAUUAAGGGGAUAGAUAGUAAGGUAUUGGGUAAUGGGCAUGAGAAAUAUUAUUUUUUUAGAUAUUGCAGCACUCCUGUUCAUAGACCCGGAGAGAAAAAAGGGCAGCUUGUCUGCAAUUUUUGUGUGCACCUAUGCAAGUAAAUUCAUCCUGAUGCGGUGAAUGAGGAAUUUAGCAUUUUGCAGGCAUGGUACAGAUGUAACUGCGUGUUAGAAGGUGUCACCGCCUCUGCUCAAACUCCGUUUUGACUCAGCACCUCGUACAAGUUAAGGUCUUGUCUGCACAAGAAAGUGCUCCCGUUUAGCUAAGUUAAUUUGUAAAGUGGUUUAGUUAAACCGCUCCCACCCUCUUCUGAUAGCCACUUAUUCUAGGUGAAGAGUCUGACUCGGUCCUAUACCUCCCCAGUUUCAGCCCAAUCCAUACAACCCCCUCUUGAACAGAUUGAAGGGGUUGCCACGCAAACAGGUUGUCCUGAUUUAACUCAGUUGGUUUCUAAACUGAUUUAAUGACGUGUAGAUGCACCUUUCUCAUGGAGGCAAGUAGUAACGUUGUCAAAGGCAUCUUCACUGAGAAGCCUGAAUCCAGUUUUUUAAAGGUCUGGGGAAAUGAUUGUGUUUGAGUCCACCAAAAGUUGAGUACAGAGGCUGCAGAGCAGUUCUGGGUGGCAGAAGGGGACGUGCUGGUUGAUGGCUUCUUGUGGUGGCCAUGCCAGUAACCUGCAAAGGAUGUGGUUAUAGAAGCUGUUAUGUGGAUUUUCUACAGCAAAACCCUCCUUGCAAUCAGCUCUUGUUUAAUCCCACCUGUCUCCAAGGCUUUUCCUAACCAAUGGUCCCUGCAAGGGGACCCUUGUAUCCCUCUGUGACUCACCAUCGCAGUCAGAGAGCCAAUUGUUUCUCCGUGUACAGGGCGCGCUAAUGAGGAGCCCGCGCUGCUGGGGAGCAGCAGUGGAGCCGUAUUUGGACUCGGAGCUGUAUUUCCUACCAGACCUCUCUAUUUGAUGAUGGCUAGUGAAGCGGUUCUGUACAGCUUAAUUUCUCCAGAGGACCUUCACUUUUGUCCCGUGACCGACUGACACGGACACACGCAAAGAGCACGUGAGUGGGCCGCGCAUCAGGAUGGGCUGCGAGCACACGUAUAAGCCCAUGUUCACCCAUUGACAUCUCUUCUUCUCAUCCCCGCAAACUCAAAUUUACCAGCAAGGGCAUGAGGGGUAGCUACGACUAGAGCAAAUUCAUAAUGAUUAUUCAUGUUCAUACUUGGUUGCAGCAUUUGUCUGAUUUUACCCCAGCAUACGGCUGCUCAGAGAUAUGCAUGUUUUGCUGACUCCGAAGCAAUGCUUAUGACAGUUUUAAUGACAGCAAUGGCAAUCGUUGGCCCAUCUCUUGCUCAUAGGAGGAGAGGAUGGGAAGCUUUUCAACAGACUGACCCAGUCUGCCGGUCUGCCAUCAGGAUCAUCGUCUACCCUCCUAUCCUUCAACCAAACCCCAGCCACACUAAUGGGUUCCACGCAGACGACCCAGCCACAGGUCACAGAUCUACAUUAAAGAACAUUUAAUUUGCAAGCAACAGCAUUUGCAGAGAACAGCACGUGAUGAUUUAGAGAUGCUUCGUUCUCAGCCUCCGAGGAGUACUAAGCUCCAAAAGCCGGGGACUGGCUUGUGCGUGCUGGGCAGCGCCGGACACCUUGUAAGGGUUGUAGCCCUCGAAGACAUGUUUUCGGACUCUUGGGUGGGCAAGCUUAGAGACCCUUGCAGAUGCCAUGGCAUUCUUGGCUCCUGCAGACACAGGCCAUGGGACUAGCUUUUCGUGGCGGUAGCUUGGAUGUUCCAUUUUUGGCUCUACAAGGAACAAAUCAUGGGGUAGAGAAAGAAACGGCUUGUUAAAAGGACUCUGAGAUUCAGUAUUGCGAAA